CUACGGGACGCUCCAGUGGGGAAUAUUGCACAAUGGGCGCAAGCCUGAUGCAGCCAUGCCGCGUGUAUGAAGAAGGCCUUCGGGUUGUAAAGUACUUUCAGCGGGGAGGAAGGGAGUAAAGUUAAUACCUUUGCUCAUUGACGUUACCCGCAGAAGAAGCACCGGCUAACUCCGUGCCAGCAGCCGCGGUAAUACGGAGGGUGCAAGCGUUAAUCGGAAUUACUGGGCGUAAAGCGACGCAGGCGGUUUGUUAAGUCAGAUGUGAAAUCCCCGGGCUCAACCUGGGAACUGCAUCUGAUACUGGCAAGCUCGAGUCUCGUAGAGGGGGGUAGAAUUCCAGGUGUAGCGGUGAAAUGCGUAGAGAUCUGGAGGAAUACCGGUGGCGAAGGCGGCCCCCUGGACGAAGACUGACGCUCAGGUGCGAAAGCGUGGGGAGCAAACAGGAUUAGAUACCCCUGUAGUC
rnacentral:rRNA from 1 species